CCUACGGGUGGCAGCAGUGGGGAAUAUUGCACAAUGGGCGCAAGCCUGAUGCAGCCAUGCCGCGUGUGUGAAGAAGGCCUUCGGGUUGUAAAGCACUUUCAGCGGGGAGGAAGGCGGUGAGGUUAAUAACCUCAUCGAUUGACGUUACCCGCAGAAGAAGCACCGGCUAACUCCGUGCCAGCAGCCGCGGUAAUACGGAGGGUGCAAGCGUUAAUCGGAAUUACUGGGCGUAAAGCGCACGCAGGCGGUCUGUCAAGUCGGAUGUGAAAUCCCAGGGCUCAACCUGGGAACUGCAUUCGAAACUGGCAGGCUAGAGUCUUGUAGAGGGGGGUAGAAUUCCAGGUGUAGCGGUGAAAUGCGUAGAGAUCUGGAGGAAUACCGGUGGCGAAGGCGGCCCCCUGGACAAAGACUGACGCUCAGGUGCGAAAGCGUGGGGAGCAAACAGGAUUAGAUACCCGAGUAGUC
rnacentral:rRNA from 1 species